AGUGAACGCUGGCGGUAGGCCUAACACAUGCAAGUCGAACGGCAGCACAGUAAGAGCUUGCUCUUACGGGUGGCGAGUGGCGGACGGGUGAGGAAUACAUCGGAAUCUACUUUUUCGUGGGGGAUAACGUAGGGAAACUUACGCUAAUACCGCAUACGACCUACGGGUGAAAGCAGGGGAUCUUCGGACCUUGCGCGAUUGAAUGAGCCGAUGUCGGAUUAGCUAGUUGGCGGGGUAAAGGCCCACCAAGGCGACGAUCCGUAGCUGGUCUGAGAGGAUGAUCAGCCAGACUGGAAGUGAGACACGGUCCCGACUCCUACGGGAAGCAGCAGUGGGGAAUAUUGGGCGAUGGGCGCAAGCCUGAUCCAGCCAUACCGCGUGGGUGAAGAAGGCCUUCGGGUUGUAAAGCCCUUUUGUUGGGAAAGAAGAGCAGCAGGUUAAUACCCCGCUGUUCUGACGGUACCCAAAGAAUAAGCACCGGCUAACUUCGUG
rnacentral:rRNA from 1 species